GAUGAACGCUGGCGGCGUGCCUAAUACAUGCAAGUCGAGCGAACAGACGAGGAGCUUGCUCCUUUGACGUUAGCGGCGGACGGGUGAGUAACACGUGGGUAACCUACCUAUAAGACUGGGAUAACUUCGGGAAACCGGAGCUAAUACCGGAUAAUAUUUCGAACCGCAUGGUUCGAUAGUGAAAGAUGGCUCUGCUAUCACUUAUAGAUGGACCUGCGCCGUAUUAGCUAGUUGGUAAGGUAACGGCUUACCAAGGCAACGAUACGUAGCCGACCUGAGAGGGUGAUCGGCCACACUGGAACUGAGACACGGUCCAGACUCCUACGGGAGGCAGCAGUAGGGAAUCUUCCGCAAUGGGCGAAAGCCUGACGGAGCAACGCCGCGUGAGUGAUGAAGGUCUUCGGAUCGUAAAACUCUGUUAUUAGGGAAGAACAAACGUGUAAGUAACUGUGCACGGCUUGACGGUACCUAAUCAGAAAGCCACGGCUAACUACGUG
rnacentral:rRNA from 1 species